CAACAACAACAAAAGUGACCAAAGGACUUCAGCUGUGUGCUCUGCAGGGCCAGGGAGGCCAAGGUCAGCAUUGCUCAGCACCUGGAGGUACAGCGAGUCCCAGCAUCAAAGCCCGGCCGCCAGGAGUUGGGGUCGCUGCUGCUGUUGCCAUGUUAUUCUGGUCGUCAUGCAGCACAUGCUUGCUCCGUCCUGCUGAAGGCUCCGGAGCCCUGAGCCAGCCGCCUCCGUCACAAGAAGUUGCCAGUACAUUGGCCACAAAGAUGCACGUUUAUCCCGCCUCAACCUCCUCGUCGUUCCUUCUCUUCCGUCGCCAGGGGCCUCAGCUCCUCUGGCUCGGCCCCCUUUCAAGGCCUGUGCCCUUGUUGGGCUCCCUGGGCUGUGGGCUCCCAAGAUGCCUCCGGCCAGGGCUCACCUGGUGCCGGCGCUGACCGAACCACUGGAAAAGGUGGAAGAAGCAACCUGGGGACAGCAACGCUGCUCCAAACCCUGCUGUGGGCCUCAGGGAUGUUGCUCCUUCUCUCUGGGCCUCAGUUUACUGCGUCAAAUGGGGCAGUAAUCAUAGCUCCUCUCUGGGGAAGACUGUGAUGGCUACACUCAUCAGCAUUUAGGGUACACCUGAUUUUACCAGGAAGGAAUGGGGGGAUCUAAAUGCCUUUCUUCACACGUGCGUUGUAAAUGACCGUCCCAAGUGGCUGGCGUGGCGAAGCGUGACCGCAUCCACGGAAGCGUAACAGUGUGUUCUGGGAUCUAGCAGACAAUCUCGGCGUCAGGAAAUGCCAUCAUAUUUCACCGGCUCUGAGAAAAAUGAACACAAUUCCACAGCCACAUAGAGCUCGAGCGGAGUCUGUGAACAAGGAGUGGGUAAGGGAGGACGUGCCAGGAGAGCCAAUACCAGCCCGUGUUUGGUGCAGCCCGAUAACAGGAAGACAGACCCCAAAUUAAACAAAUAUGAAUGAAUUUCUCUGCGUGUAGUCGCAGCAAAUAUAUCAGUUGAAAAUGGGUAGAGCAAGCGGCAAAAUGUAAUAAAUCCAAAUGAACUCCGGUGCCGAAGUGAAAACAAAUAUUUCACUGAGUAGCAGUACAAGUUGGGACACGGGAGGAAUACAGAGAAAGGACUGUUUGGAAGAACCACACACGACGUAGUCACAUGACUGUGGCAGAAAGGGUUCGGCCAGCCUUAUCUCCACGGGCACAUGUACAGGUAGGGCACCUUCCCAAGGGACCUGGGGCACCGAGACACCCCUACCCCUCUGGCCUCAACCUGGAGGUUCAUCUGUGCUGUAGCUGGAUGCAUCCGUAUUCUAGUCCUUUUUAUUGCAGAAUAAUAUUCCACUGUGAGUGCACUAUACAGUUUGUUUCUCCAUUCAUCCAUUGAUGGACACUUGGGUUGGUUCUAACUUUUGGCUAUUGUGAAUAGAACUGCUAUGAGAAAGGGUCACUUGCCACUAUCCUCACAGUUGCUUGCCCCUGGGUUGAGGACUGGGGGAUGGUAGCUGAUCUGUUAAACAUGGAUAUUGACUGACAUGAACUCAAUUUUAUCAGCCUCUUCAUCAAGCUGUUGCCUGGAGGCUGCAAGUGGUCAAUAGUGCUGAACAGAUCAGGGUGUCCAAUUCACUAGUAUGCAUGGAGCACCUGGUGAACCAGGUGGGCGAGGUGGGGAGUGAGGCUGCCACCCACAGUCAGACCCAGCUGUGGGCUACUAAAAUGUCUUCAGGAGCUACAGGAGGGGCCCAGGAGCGAGUGAUGGGGAGGGGGCGCUAUAGCGGGCAGUCAGGCAGGUCCCUCCCAGAAAGAAGGUGUUAUUCCUGCGGCAGGCUCAGAAUGUGAUGUUGGAAGGAAGGGCAUCCUAGGCCCAGAGUGGGAAGUCCUUAGGAGUGAAGGGAGGCCUGAGGGAGGUGGCAAACCAGGUGGCUUUGCUGCCAGCCCCAAGGGUGGCACUGAGGGCCUGCAGAGGAGGACGGGGAGGGGACUGAAACCAGGGAGACCACAGGGGUUCCAAGGGAGCCUGUAGGUUCCGGGCCGGCCAUUGGGUGGGCGGUGGGACUGGGAAGACAGGAGCCAUGGCUUCCCAAACGCCCCUUUACACCGCAGGAGAAGUGGAC